rnacentral:rRNA from 1 species
UGGGGAAUAUUGGACAAUGGGCGCAAGCCUGAUCCAGCAAUGCCGCGUGAGUGAUGAAGGCCUUAGGGUUGUAAAGCUCUUUCGCACGCGACGAUGAUGACGGUAGCGUGAGAAGAAGCCCCGGCUAACUUCGUGCCAGCAGCCGCGGUAAUACGAAGGGGGCUAGCGUUGUUCGGAAUUACUGGGCGUAAAGGGCGCGUAGGCGACCUGUUUAGUCAGAAGUGAAAGCCCCGGCUCAACCUGGGAAUAGCUUUUGAUACUGGCAGGCUUGAGUUCCCGAAGAGGAUGGUGGAAUUCCCAGUGUAGAGGUGAAAUUCGUAGAUAUUGGGAAGAACACCCGGUGGCGAAGGCGGCCAUCUGGACGGACACUGACGCUGAGGCGCGAAAGCGUGGGGAGCAAACAGAUUAGAUACCCCUGGUAGUCCACGCGUAAACGNUGAAUGCUNGACGUCGGGGUGCAUNCACUUCGGUGUCGCCGCUAACGCAUUAAGCAUUCCGCCUGGGGAGUACGGCCGCAAGGUUAAAACUUAAAGGAAUUGACGGGGUCAUAGCUGUUUCCU